UACGUAGGGUGCAAGCGUUGUCCGGAAUUAUUGGGCGUAAAGAGCUCGUAGGCGGUCUGUUGCGUCGGCUGUGAAAACCCGGGGCUCAACUCCGGGCCUGCAGCCGAUACGGGCAGACUAGAGUUCGGCAGGGGAGACUGGAAUUCCUGGUGUAGCGGUGAAAUGCGCAGAUAUCAGGAGGAACACCGGUGGCGAAGGCGGCAUCCUGGACCGAUACUGACGCUGAGGAGCGAAAGCCAGGGGAGCAAACGGG
rnacentral:rRNA from 1 species